rnacentral:lncRNA from 1 species
CUUUGCUUAGAUUCUGUUCCCCAUUGCUUUGACCCUUUCUGUUCCCUGACAGCUGCCUGUGCCUUCCUGCUGGGCCUCAACUUAGAGUGUCUGUUAUUUGUGGUCAAGUAUUAUAAUUCAGCCUCUUGGUAUCCUCUACAGGUGCCAGAAUAGAGGCUUAAGUGGAGUAGGUAUUCAAUAACAGCACUGAACGUUUCACCCAGAAGAGAUCAUUCUCUCAAUAAUUUGAACUUUAAUAUUAAAUUCCAAACCCAGUUUCUAGCUGAGUGCCCUCCUUUGCCAUUUUGUAAUAAUUUUGCUUUUAUUUCCAAGGAUUGCUGAGGCAGUGAAUUGGAGCGGCUAUGUAGUGCUUGCAACCAGUUACCGUAUUUCCCUGAAAGAAUCACCACCAACCAGCUCUUCCAGAAUUUAUGAGGUGCUUCCCUUAUCACCAGCCAUCUCACGCACACGUAGUUUUCCAGGAGGCCAUUAGUGUCAAGAAGGAGACAUUCCCUGUGGCAGGAAGAGGGUGUGUCCUGGUGGGCAGGUUAGAGUCGGAGGCCUCUGGGUUUUCUGCCAGGGAGGCUCCCCGAGGCCCAGAGGCAGAAGUGCUGCUGCCUGGACCAGCUAGUGCAGGUGAGUGAUGCAUCCGCUUACUGUUAACAAGGGCUCUUUAGCCUAUGAAGACAUUUAAUAACUAUUUUCAAUGAUUCAGAGAAACAAUAUUCAGUUCUCUUUGGGAAGACGCUUGCAGGAGAGCGGCGGGAAUGUGGAGCCGGG